UGGGGAAUUUUGGACAAUGGACGCAAGUCUGAUCCAGCCAUGCCGCGUGCGGGAAGAAGGCCUUCGGGUUGUAAACCGCUUUUGUCAGGGAAGAAACGAGUUUCUCUAAUACAGAGACUUAAUGACGGUACCUGAAGAAUAAGCACCGGCUAACUACGUGCCAGCAGCCGCGGUAAUACGUAGGGUGCAAGCGUUAAUCGGAAUUACUGGGCGUAAAGCGUGCGCAGGCGGUUAUAUAAGACAGAUGUGAAAUCCCCGGGCUCAACCUGGGAACUGCCUUUGUGACUGCAUAGCUAGAGUACGGUAGAGGGGGAUGGAAUUCCGCGUGUAGCAGUGAAAUGCGUAGAUAUGCGGAGGAACACCGAUGGCGAAGGCAAUCCCCUGGACCUGUACUGACGCUCAUGCACGAGAGCGUGGGGAGCAAACA
rnacentral:rRNA from 1 species